ensembl:processed_transcript predicted gene 11981
CUGAUGGCCAUAGAAUCAUGGAGAGCUGAGACCUCCUGUUAGGAGCCUGGUGUCUGGGAGUAUGGCAAAUGCCUUCUGUUCCUUGAAGGAACACCUGCUGGGUCUCUGGGGUUUAAACCUAGCUCAACCAGAAAUCAGGCUGCCUGUCAGUCCCACAGGGCCAGACUGAGAGAGAUUCUGGUUUGUCACCAGCAUUGACAUCUGGCAGAUGGACCCCUCUGGAUCUAGCAAGACGAGGUACGAGCAGUGAUGAGCCCACUAUCGUUUGACUGCAAAGCAGCUAAUUCAAGACUCAGUCUCCGUGAAGGGCUCUCAGAGAAGGCUUCCGCUCACAUGAGGACAGAGCAUCUGAGUGGAGAGAUUGAUUGGCUUGUCUUCAAAUCCUACUGUAAGCCUCUUGUCUCUACUGGUCUGCUGGAGAGGCGCCCCACGGAGUGCUCUAGGGCUGUGAUCCUUACAGCAUGAGUUCUGGUAACCAAACUGAAGUCUUUUGGAAAUACAGAAAUAGCUCUUAACUACUGAGCCAUCUCUCCGCCCAAAGCACCACUAAUGUUAGUUUUGAUAAUAUACUGUGGUUAUGUAUAAAAUAUCAUCUGUGAGGAAAAGAUGAAUGGAAUUCCCUACGCUGAUUUUGAUAAUCUACAUUUUUUAUUUAUAGCAC